GACGAACGCUGGCGGCGUGCUUAACACAUGCAAGUCGAACGGUGAUGCUCCAGUUUGCUGGAGUGGAACAGUGGCGAACGGGAGAGUAACACGUGAGCAACCCGCCCCAGAGGGGAGAAUAAGCGCUGGAAACGGCGAAUAAUACAGGAGACGAAACUGGGCAGCAGGGGCAUGGUUUGGAAAGUUUCUAGGUUUUGGAUAGUCGCGCGGUCAACUAGCUUGUUGGUGAGGGAAUGGCCCACCAAGUGGACGACUGGUAGCCGGCCUGAGAGGGCGACCAGCCACCCUGGGACUACGACACGGACCAGUCUCCUACGUGAGGCAGCAGUGGGGAGUAUUGCCCAGUGGUCGAAAGCCUGAUGCAGCGACGCCGCGUGUGUAAAGACGUCCUUCGUGUUGUAAACCUCUUUCAGCAGAGAAGAUGCGAAAGUGACGGUACCUGCAGAAGAAGCACCGGCUAACUACGUG
rnacentral:rRNA from 1 species